rnacentral:rRNA from 1 species
UACGUAGGGGGCAAGCGUUGUCCGGAAUCAUUGGGCGUAAAGCGCGUGUAGGCGGCUCGAUAAGUCUGCUGUGAAAGUCCAGGGCUCAACCCUGGGAUGCCGGUGGAUACUGUCGAGCUCGAGUCCGGAAGAGGCGAGUGGAAUCCCUGGUGUAGCGGUGAAAUGCGCAGAUAUCAGGAGGAACACCAAUGGCGAAGGCAGCUCGCUGGGACGUGACUGACGCUGAGACGCGAAAGCGUGGGGAGCAAACAGG